rnacentral:rRNA from 1 species
CCUACGGGAGGCAGCAGUGGGGAAUAUUGGGCAAUGGACGCAAGUCUGACCCAGCAACGCCGCGUGAAGGAAGAAGGCUUUCGGGUUGUAAACCUCUUUUAAGGGGGAAGAGCAGAAGACGGUACCUCUUGAAUAAGCCACGGCUAACUACGUGCCAGCAGCCGCGGUAAUACGUAGGUGGCAAGCGUUGUCCGGAUUUACUGGGUGUAAAGGGCGUGCAGUGGGAGGGACAAGUCAGAGGGGAAAACCACGGGCUCAACCCGUGAACUGCAUUUGAGACUGGUUCCCUUGAGUGUCGGGGAGGUAAUCGGAAUGCCUGGUGUAGCGGUGAAAUGCGUAGAUAUUAGGAAGAACCCCAGUGGCGAAGGCGGAUUACUGGACGAUAACUGACGGUGAGGCGCGAAAGCGUGGGGAGCAAACAGGAUUAGAUACCCCAGUAGUC